CUAGGUUGAUUGGGUGUGCUAUGCGCUUUCACCGAAAAGAUCGGAUCUCUUCAUAAGUAGUUAGGAACAAUUGUUGGGUUACUGUGAAAAUUUAUGGAGUGCGGUGAUAGGUUAGUCGUUGAUUUUUAUAGCUGUUGUAUGGGCGGUUUAUUCAAUUUAACGCACGGGUGAGGAGAUCCGUGCGUAUACUACAUUGGUGUUACAACUGUUGUUGCUGGGGUUAGUGUUACCCCUGUUUUGAAGAGUGUGUCAUGACUCGUUUGGGCGCUGCUUUUAAUUAGACCAAACCCCCAUACUGCCAAACACCUGUAACGGUAAAUGGCUUAAUCAGUAAUUCUAUUAAUUGCACUUUUUCUCGAGUAUGCCCCAACUGUUUAUUAAAAACAUUUCUGCCCCUCAUUGUGGGCAGUAAAACCUGCCCAGUGUGUUUAUUCAUAAAUGGCCGCAGUAUACUGACUGUGCGAAGGUAGCAUAAUUAAUUGCCUUAUAAUUGGAGGCUUGUUUGAAUGGUUUUUUGUGGGUGUCACCAAAACUGUGAUUUUUAGUGAAUUUAAUUCUACGAGUACAGAAUCUGUGGUGUUUAGCUAGACGGAAAGACCCCAGGAUCUUUAGUUUUGUCUGGGGCAGAUUAGGCUAGUUUAGCUUAUUUGCGAACCAUGUGGUUAGAGGCUAAGUUACCCUGGGGAUAACAGAGUAAUAGUCUAUGAGAGAUCCUAUCGAUUAGGCUGUUUGCUACCUCGAUGUUGACUUGGGAUUAUUUGCUGGCGUAGCCGUUAGUGAAUA
rnacentral:rRNA from 1 species